rnacentral:ncRNA from 1 species
GCCAAAUAGAGUUGCGGGUUGGUAGCUCCUGCGCCCGCCCUCGGACGGGUUCUUCUCAGCCUCGG